rnacentral:lncRNA from 1 species
CGGGAGGCUGAGGCGGGAGAAUUGCUUGAACCUGGGAGGCGGAGGUUGCAGUGAGCCCAGAUCAUGCCAUUGUGUGUAAACAUAUUGAGUUCACCGCCAGACCUUUCAGCAUGUGGCCAAUGUGUCUCCAUUUUUUUGAUGUAGGCCAGUUUGAGUUGGACUGUCUGCCACCUGAGCAAGAGAAAUCCCACCUGCCAAGCCUCUCGGCAGACGGUGGUGCAGCCUCCACAGCCUGGUCUUCAGAUUGUAACUCCGGCCCCUGCUCUGAGCUGGACCCCUCUAGAUCAAGUUUGCAAA